rnacentral:misc_RNA from 1 species
AAGAUUCGACCUUCGGGUCUACUCUUCAGCUGUGCGCUUCGGCUGCACGCUGUUGAAUCUCACACACCUGUGCACAUUUCGGUUGCAGCUGGUUAAUUCUGGCUGCUUCCGCUUUUACAUUUAACUACCAAGUCUAGAAUGUCAAAUACUAUAAAAUAA